rnacentral:rRNA from 1 species
GAUGAACGCUGGCGGCGUGCCUAAUACAUGCAAGUCGAGCGAACAGAUGAGGAGCUUGCUCCUCUGACGUUAGCGGCGGACGGGUGAGUAACACGUGGAUAACCUACCUAUAAGACUGGGAUAACUUCGGGAAACCGGAGCUAAUACCGGAUAAUAUAUUGAACCGCAUGGUUCAAUAGUGAAAGACGGUUUUGCUGUCACUUAUAGAUGGAUCCGCGCCGCAUUAGCUAGUUGGUAAGGUAACGGCUUACCAAGGCAACGAUGCGUACCCGACCUGAGAGGUGGGCCGCCAACAGGAGAACAGGGACACGGUCAAGCCUCCUGCGGGAGGAAGCAGGGGGGAUUCUUCGACAAGGGCGGAGAGCCGGACGGAGCAACCCGGCGGGAGGAAUAAAGGUUUUGGGAUCUAAAAACUUUUUUAUAGGGGAAAAAAAAGUGGUAACUAAAAUUUCCCCGUCUGGAGGGUCCCUAAGAAAAAGCCCACGCCAAACUAGGGC